rnacentral:rRNA from 1 species
AUUGAACGCUGGCGGCAGGCUUAACACAUGCAAGUCGAGCGGGGUGAUGGUGCUUGCACUAUCACUUAGCGGCGGACGGGUGAGUAAUGCUUAGGAAUCUGCCUAUUAGUGGGGGACAACAUCUCGAAAGGGAUGCUAAUACCGCAUACGUCCUACGGGAGAAAGCAGGGGAUCACUUGUGACCUUGCGCUAAUAGAUGAGCCUAAGUCGGAUUAGCUAGUUGGUGGGGUAAAGGCCUACCAAGGCGACGAUCUGUAGCGGGUCUGAGAGGAUGAUCCGCCACACUGGGACUGAGACACGGCCCAGACUCCUACGGGAGGCGGCAGUGGGGAAUAUUGGACAAUGGGGGGAACCCUGAUCCAGCCAUGCCGCGUGUGUGAAGAAGGCCUUAUGGUUGUAAAGCACUUUAAGCGAGGAGGAGGCUCUUUUGGUUAAUACCCAAGAUGAGUGGACGUUACUCGCAGAAUAAGCACCGGCUAACUCUGUGCCAGCCGCCGCUGUAAUAC